GGAGGAGUGGCCGAGUGGUUUAAGGCAACGGUCUUGAAAACCGUCAUACCUUAAUUGGUAUCGUGAGUUCGAAUCUCACCUCCUCCG
rnacentral:tRNA from 1 species